UUCAUUUGAUCGUACAGUUUACUUGGAUAACUGUGGUAAUUCUAGAGCUAAUACAUGCGAGAAGCGCCGACCUCGCCGGAGGCGUGCAUUUAUCAGACCAAAAACCGGCCGCGUCUUCGGGCGCGUUCGCCUUGGUGACUCUGGAUAACUUUGCGGAUCGCACGGUCUAGCACCGGCGACGGAUCAUUCAAGUGUCUGCCCUAUCAACUUUCGUCGGUACGGUAUUUGCCUACCGAGGUUCUUACGGGUGACGGGGAAUCAGGGUUCGAUUCCGGAGAGGGAGCCUGAGAAACGGCUACCACAUCCAAGGAAGGCAGCAGGCGCGCAAAUUACCCAUUCCCGACGCGGGGAGGUAGUGACGAAAAAUAACAAUGCAGGACUCGUUCGAGGCCCUGUAAUUGGAAUGAGUACACUUUAAAAGCUUUAACGAGUAUCCAUUGGAGGGCAAGUCUGGUGCCAGCAGCCGCGGUAAUUCCAGCUCCAAAAGUAUAUAUUUAAGUUGUUGCGGUUAAAAAGCUCGUAGUUGGAUUUUGGGCGCAGGCGGCCGGUCCGUCGCAAGGCGUGUACUGGACGUCCUGGCCUUCCCUCCGGUUCUCCGCCGGUGCUCUUGACUGAGUGUCGGCGGCGGCCGGAACGUUUACUUUGAAAAAAUUAGAGUGUUCAAAGCAGGCUCUCGAGCCUGGAUAAUGGUGCAUGGAAUAAUGGAAUAGGACCUCGCACCACAUGGAG
rnacentral:ncRNA from 1 species